AACAUGAAAUUGAGACAAGAAGCUCAAAAGAAGCUCAAAUCUCACCUUCCUUUAUCAAGAUGGUAAACAAUAUCAAAUACUAAAAAUGCCUUUAAAGGAUGUAUUUUAUAACACCUGUACUGGGACUUGUAAGACCAACACAGGUUUUCUCAGAGGUCAAGAUGGCACAACACCAAGCGCAUCGAACGUCUUCAUUCCUCUCACUUUCCAGAUUUAGAAGAGUCCACCCUGGAUACCUCAAAUACCACCUGCAUUUUGAACUACCCACAGAAAAACAGAGAUUAUCAGCAAUGUAGACUUUCUUCUACAACUGCUCUUGCUCAGACUGUUUCUUAGACCAGUUAGGAACUAAUUUUAAAAUACUGUUUUAAAUACAAAUACAUCAAAGAAUGGAAAAAAAAAAAAAAAGCAAUACAGCUUAUAUUAUAUUUCUAAUGAUCCCAUGAUAUUUUUUAUGACAUCUUCUCAAGUUUUGAUUACACAAGGGGAAUGGCCUGGAGAGUAAGCUGAAUCACUGGUAAGUUGGAAUAGCAUCUCAUCUGUCCAAAGGACACUGUUAACUUGUGUUUGAAUUUUAAGUGCCUCCUGAAGUAAUCCUGAUGCAAUGCAAGUGCUUAGCUCCCUGUCUGGCCUGUGGAGGGAUCCUUUGGAUGGUUUCACUGCAAAUCCUACCAGUCUUUGUUACCUAUGUUAAGAAGACUAGACACUACCAUGGAGUCUCACAGUGGGCUGAAACCAGUUCUUGGGCUUGUCUGGGACUUUGCUGAGCAUCAGCAAAAUGAGUCCUUUAAUGAGUAAUAGAUAACAACACACAAUGGAAAACAAAACAAAAUCAAAAAAGAACAGAGCUCCACUUUUGUUGAUAAAGGAUAUUUCUUCUCUUUUAUCCCUCACUGGAAUGGUCACCUCCCUUGCUGUGUUGGGUUGUUCAGAGAACUGUUAGCUGAGAAUUGAACUCAGCUAAAAGCUUACAGUUUGUAGGGCUCGGAGGAGGCCAUCCUUCAGAAGCUGAAGUUAGGGAGAUGAAGUCUAAGGAGGCCAAGAAGCAUCCCCCUUCGUUAAUUAACACUGUGUCUGUCCCUCCAAAAUAAGCACUGCAUAUAAACACACCUGGUUAAGUUAUGCAGCUCUCAGCUAUGCACUUCCUCAUGCUUCUCACCUUCUGGUCUUGUCUUGACUUCUGAGAAGACUGAAUGAGUGGGGUCUCACCUUGAUUUCAGCAAGAGGAGAAAGGACAAUGAGGUCUGAGUAAGUCACACUUUCAGAAAGCAUGUGAAGUUGCUCAAAAGGAUGCACUGGCUACCUACAGGUUUACAGAUUCCAGCUGCAGCUUCCAAAGUGGCUAGGUUCCACUUCUGCACAUUGGGUAUCAUGGCUACUCCUUCAAGGCACUAAUCACAGAGGCUACAUCAGAUGCAUGACUCAGUGAUAGACUUGAUUGAAGAACUGGAUCACUUCACUGACGGGGUGUCUCUUCAGCCUGCUGGCCUCCAAGAACUAUAUGUUUUUCCUGCUUUCUGCUGCCAAUGGCACACAGAGCCAAGUAUUGGUUGAGCAAGGGGUAAACAAGUUAAUGAGAAUAUUAGGCCAUGUGUAAUGUGGAAAAUUGUUUCGGAACUUAAUGACCUCCAUUGUUUAAAAAGACAUACCUUUUCAGGAAAACAAAAUAAAGCAGUCAAGUUGGUUUUAUGAGAUCUACUUUUACAUCACUGGAUUGAGGAUUUCUGAAAAACAGACAGAAAAUGUCUUGGUCUGUUCACUAGAAUCUUCGGCUGUAUAUAUUUUCCAAAAGGAGAAAGUGUGGAAUAGUUUUCUAUGAACAUUCUUAGAAUAAAUAAUGUGAAUGUUUACUCAGUGCUUUCUGGAUGGAGAGAGGGAUUGCUUUUCUCUGUUAAUGUACUCUGAGGACAAACCUAGGAAAUGUGCAGAAUGUGCUCAGAUGCUGUGAUGGGCUUUUAUCCUCAUGCAGGUAGAAAGCUCAUGGCCUGGAUCCCCAAGGGACUGACGUGUCUGCUGUUGUCCUGAAUGACUGCUGGUUUUGACUUUGGAAAAUUUUUAAUUAAUUCUGUAUAACAGCUGAACAGUGGCAAGUGAGUUGUAAACUUCCCACCAUGAGUUUCCAAGAAAAAAGAUAGAAAAUCAAGACUAAAGCAAGGGGCACACAGCUUUUGAAGCAGAGCAGCACCAGGGAAGGGAUCAAAUAUAAAAAACAGGUAUGAAAAUAAAGAUCUUUCCAUCAGUUGUUUCUGGAAAAUUAAAGUGAAGAAGACAGCAGGAAUGAGGGCAUACAACCAAGGAUGCAUGAGAAUGAUAGAUGAAGCUAUUGUCAGUGGCUUGGAAAGAGGAAGGAAAAACAAAUGGGAGGCAGAAAUCAAGAGGGAAAUAAGAAAGAGUGUUAUGAAGUGCUGUCAGAGUGGGUAGCAAAGCGACAUGACAAUAUCCUUUUUAUUAGCAGUUUAUUGAGGAAGUAUAAGUAAAUGUUUAAGACAUUCUUGGAAGGAUAACUUACGGAGUAUUAAAUUUGAUUUAGUGAUGUCGACAUCAGAGCCUUUGCCAUGUACAUAAAGCCAGAGAGAAGAGGGAAUUCCAUAUGGUCAGGGGUGCCAGAGAAGCUUCAAUACCUGGGAAAGCCCAAGCAAAUUAUUCUUCUGUAUAGGAAUAAUGAGUGAAGAAUAGAUGUGAGGAAUAUGGGAAAACAAACAAACAAACAAAAAACAGCAACUAGAUAUAAGGAAGUUAGCAGAAACAGAGAUCAAAGUGAAAGCAAAGGAGACCAUAGACCGGUGAAUUCAGUAGUUCAAGAGAACAAAAAAGUCCUAAAGAGAAGAUAAUGUCAGGAUUAAUUCCGCAUUCUGAACCCAAAAGGGAUGCUGGAGAGGUACUGUGAUGUCUGAUGCAGUAGGAGAAGGCAAGUUAACGCAUCUGGGCCAAAAUAACAACUGAAGCUGACUGAGCUGAAGAGUCAAUUGAGUCUGUAAAUGUUCAUUUCUCUUUUUACACUUCCCACUUUAGUAUAUUUUCAGCUAAUGUUUCAUUAUAAUUUCCACAAACAUUUCAUGUCACAAAAUCAUUACAAUGUAGACUGCACUCUGAACAGCUGUAAAAUAGCCUUGCCAAUGCUGGUAAUUUGCACUGGGAAUGUAAUAUCCAAUUCCAAUCACUGAUGAGUGCUAUGCAAAAUGAACUAACCAGCAUUUUUCAUUUCUGUAACAACUUAC
ensembl:lncRNA